GAUGAACGCUGGCGGCGUGCCUAAUACAUGCAAGUCGAGCGAACAGACGAGGAGCUUGCUCCUCUGACGUUAGCGGCGGACGGGUGAGUAACACGUGGAUAACCUACCUAUAAGACUGGGAUAACUUCGGGAAGCCGGAGCUAAUACCGGAUAAUAUAUUGAACCGCAUGGUUCAAUAGUGAAAGACGGUUUUGCUGUCACUUAUAGAUGGAUCCGCGCCGCAUUAGCUAGUUGGUAAGGUAACGGCUUACCAAGGCAACGAUGCGUAGCCGACCUGAGAGGGUGAUAGGCCACACUGGAACUGAGACACGGUCCAGACUCCUACGGGAGGCAGCAGUAGGGAAUCUUCCGCAAUGGGCGAAAGCCUGACGGAGCAACGUCGCGUGAGUGAUGAAGGUCUUCGGAUCGUAAAACUCUGUUAUUAGGGAAGAACAAAUGUGUAAGUAACUAUGCACGUCUUGACGGUACCUAAUCAGAAAGCCACGGCUAACUACGUG
rnacentral:rRNA from 1 species